rnacentral:rRNA from 1 species
UACGUAGGGUGCGAGCGUUAAUCGGAAUUACUGGGCGUAAAGCGUGCGCAGGCGGUUUGUUGUGUCUGAUGUGAAAGCCCCGGGCUUAACCUGGGAAUGGCAUUGGAAACUGGCAAGCUGGAGUGUGGCAGAGGGGGGUGGAAUUCCGCGUGUAGCAGUGAAAUGCGUAGAGAUGCGGAGGAACACCGAUGGCGAAGGCAGCCCCCUGGGCCAAUACUGACGCUCAGGCACGAAAGCGUGGGGAGCAAACAGG